GAGUUUGAUUAUGGCUCAGAGUUAACGCUGGCAUCGUGCAUAACACAUGCAAGUCGAACGGGACUUGAUUGUAGCUUGCUAUAGAUUAAGUUAGUGGCAGACGGGUGAGUAAUGUAUAAGGAAUCUACCUCCGAGUGGGGAAUAACAGUCCGAAAGGAUUGCUAAUACCCCAUAACAUAAUCAGAUGGCAUCAUUUGAUUAUCAAAGAUUUAUCGCUUGGAGAUGAUCUUAUAUUCUAUCAGCUAGUUGGCAGUGUAACGGACUACCAAGGCUACGACGGAUAGCCGGCCUGAAAGGGCGACCGGCCACAAGGGCACUGAGACACGGGCCCUACUCCUACGGGAGGCAGCAGUGGGGAAUUUUGGACAAUGGGCGCAAGCCUGAAUCCAGCAACGAUGCGUGGAGGAUGAAGGUUUUCGGAUUGUAAACUCCUUUUGUGAGGGAAGAAACAAAUGACGGUACCUCACGAAUAAGCCACGGCUAACUACGUGCCAGCCGCCGC
rnacentral:rRNA from 1 species